UCAGAACCACCGCAGGGAUGCCGUCUGU
rnacentral:sRNA from 1 species